GCCCAGGUUUCUGUGCACAAUAUUGCACAUACACUGCAAUGGAGAAUGAACCCAAAAAGAUCGUCCACAUGGUCAACAUUGACAAGCGGGAGACGCAGAGGAACUCAGUUGCCAUGGAGAAAGAGGGCUUUAUGCGUACCUUUGACAAGCUCUGUCAAGAGCUCAGUGUUGGAAGAAAUUUGCACGGAUGCUCAUACCCAAAUACACAGCCCUCUUUAGUAAGUUGUGCAGUUUUCUUCUUUGUAGAGAUUCAACUUUUUUUUUAAGCAUAGUUGGGCAAUGUUUUUCUUCUCCCUAUAGACACAGGGAAAUACAACAAUGGUGGCGUUCGCCACACCCUAGAUAUCUGGCAUGGGUCAAAAAGCUUGGGGGAAAAACAUUCAUGCAGUAAGUUUGUUAAGUCUGCAGAUACACAGAUAUGACAGUGUUUAUCCUAUAUAAAUGAUGUCAUCCACAUGUCUAGGCAGGGCAACAAAAGGGGGGCUCCAUUCUACAGAUGUGGAACAAGGACAUCUGCAACCACUUCUGGCAAUGCUGCAAAACUGCUGAUAGUGUCAAAGAGUUCUUUAAGUUGUGGAUUGGCCUACUUCCCCACAUCACCCGAGAACAUGUCUGGGCCAAUGAUGCCUGUCACCAUGGCCCAUUGGUUGAGAGCAGAGAUAAAGAAUGAAUUAAAGACACGUCUAUAGCACACAAGAAACUGUGAGAGAUCAUCACAGAUACACGCUGGCUGAAGAAAGUUCACAAGUAUCUGUCUUUCAGGUCAACUGCAGAAUUGGAGUCCUUCCACAACCCCAUACUGAUGUACGCUAGCAAGCGCUUCAGCUUCUCUCCACCUGUGCAGCUUGGACCAUGCUGGCUGGCCUGGACUACAGUCACCACAUAAACAUACCAGCCAAGAGAAGAGCAGAUGGCUCACUUCAAGUCAAUAACUACAGCUGGCAAGCCGACCCAUCUUCUCAACAUGCUUUGAAUAGAGGGGCAGCAAGGGGAGUGGCUUAUUUUAUUGCCAGGGUCCUUCGAAGUGCGAGGGAUUGUCAGACAGGCAAGGGGCCAGGUUUGACCUGCCGUUAUUCCACCAGGUCAGUUCCACGGCAGGUUCAGGUACAGUGCCCAGUGGAGCCAGUUCUUUGUGUUCCAAUCACCUAAGCAGUGUCCCUGAACCAGAUGUAAUACAGUUUUAGAAUGACCAAGUGAAUGUCUCUGCUGUCUGCAUCUGCACAGGAGCGCGCCGAACGGAGCCUGCAGCUGAUGGGCGCGGGCACUCACCGCAAGGCAUUGUUGAGACGAUCUCUCGCUCCGACUACCUGCCCUGUUAAUCACUGUUCCUGUGUGUGUGAAUGUCCAACAGGUAAUUUGUCUGUCCUAUAAUUAUAUUGAGAGGGAGAACUGACUUUUCCCGUCCAUAGGCAUUCACGUGUGUUAAUUGAUAAAUGAGAGAGAGAGAGCAAAUAGACACCAUGAGCACAUGCGCAUCUUCUAAUAUUGUUAAUAACCUAUAUAAUCCUGUUCUGUUCAUUUAUCAUUACGAGUGUUAAUUGUUAAUUGGUAGCAUUGGUAUUAGAAUGAUAUGAUUAUUCAUAUGCUUGUAGUGGUAGCAUCUGAAUCAUUAUUUCUGUUCCAAUGAUAAUUGUUUAUUGUUGAUCCUGCUUUUACUGUUUGU